rnacentral:rRNA from 1 species
UACGAAGGCAGCAGUGGGGAAUAUUGGACAAUGGGCGAAAGCCUGAUCCAGCCAUGCCGCAUGAGUGAAGAAGGCCUUCGGGUUGUAAAGCUCUUUUAGUGAGAAAGAUAAUGACGGUACUCACAGAAGAAGUCCUGGCUAACUCCGUGCCAGCAGCCGCGGUAAUACGGAGAGGGCUAGCGUUAUUCGGAAUUAUUGGGCGUAAAGAGCGCGUAGGCUGAUUAGUAAGUUAAAAGUGAAAUCCCAAAGCUUAACUUUGGAAUUGCUUUUUAAAACUGCUAGUCUAGAGAUUGAAAGAGGAUAGAGGAAUUCCUAGUGUAGAGGUGAAAUUCGUAAAUAUUAGGAGGAACACCAGUGGCGAAGGCGUCUAUCUGGUUCAAAUCUGACGCUGAGGCGCGAAGGGCGUGGGGAGCAAACAGGGAUUAGAUACC